rnacentral:rRNA from 1 species
UACAGAGGGGGCAAGCGUUGUUCGGAAUUACUGGGCGUAAAGGCGCGUAGGCGGCCCGCUAAGUCGAACGUGAAAUCCCCGAGCUCAACUCGGGAACUGCGUCCGAUACUGGUGGGCUUGAAUCCGGGAGAGGGAUGCGGAAUUCCGAGUGUAGAGGUGAAAUUCGUAGAUAUUCGGAAGAACACCAGUGGCGAAGGCGGCGAUCUGGGAAGAUACUGACGCUGAGGUGCGAAAGCGUGGGGAGCAAACAGG